rnacentral:lncRNA from 1 species
ACUCAAAUCUUCAGCUUCUUCCUUUUCGAAAAUACAUACUGCAUUUUAUCCAUGUCUCCUUCAGAACUGAGCAAUUUAUGAAGGCUUUACCCAGGUGAGCUGAUUAUACAUGCUUUUUUCUUCCUUUUUGAAUGCCAUAUUCUCUAUUUCAAUCCUUGCCAUUCUAAAUUAGUUCCUUGGCAAAGGAUAAUAGCAAAGGGAAUAUUAUUUGAAUGUUAUAUGUGAAGACAAUUUAAUAACAUUUCUUUCCUGUCACAAAAUAUCCAACAGCUGUUUGUAACUUACUUUGUUACCAAAUUGAGAGAAUGGAUACAUCCAAAGAAAAUUCUAAAUAAUCAAUGUGUUUAGGCCUCUUUUAUUUAUGCUAAGAAAGACAUCAUGUGCACAUUUGAAUAAGCACCAUCCAUAUCCUAAUUUGGUUACUUCAAGUAAAUUGCACAUUUGGAAAGCAAGGAAAAUGCAACUGACAAGCUAGGCUUCUAAACAUAAUUGAAAUUCAUUCUGAAUGCAGGAAGGGUCAGUUUCAUUUCAAAGCAGUAGACCUUGUUUUGAAUUCCUAUAUUCUGCUUUGUAUCCAUUGCAGCAUUAGAUUUGUUAAUCACCAAAAUGAUUUUUUCAUCUGGUUAAGUUAGUAGAAUUUUCUUCAUUAAUUUUAUACUUAAUUUUACUUAAAUAAAUGUUUAUAUUUAAUUGUUUUUAUAUUAAUUACUUAAAACAUUUUGAUCUGAUUUCAUGAAAGAAGACAUUUAGGACGUUGAAAUUUUUUCUAUUACAAUUGCAGUUACUCUGUGAUUUAGAACAAUUUCAUAGGCAAAAUAUUCUGGCCAACAUCUUUUUGUAAAUAAUCCCAAAUCAAACUGCAAAACAGCCUAUUUACAAUCUUGCUGUUACUUAAUCUUUACAUCUGGUUAUUUCAAACAAAUUGUGCAUUUGGAAAGCAAGAUUUUUUCAGUGACCACUUACUAUGAUUUUUAUGGAAAUUAAUACUUGCUAUGAAAGACUCUUUUCACCAUUAAGAAUUCAGCCAGCUCC